CCUACGGGGGGCAGCAGUGAGGAAUAUUGGUCAAUGGACGAGAGUCUGAACCAGCCAAGUCGCGUGAAGGAUGACGGCCCUAUGGGUUGUAAACUUCUUUUAUAUGGGAAUAAAGUGUUCCACGUGUGGCAUUUUGUAUGUACCAUAUGAAUAAGGAUCGGCUAACUCCGUGCCAGCAGCCGCGGUAAUACGGAGGAUCCGAGCGUUAUCCGGAUUUAUUGGGUUUAAAGGGAGCGUAGGUGGUUUGUUAAGUCAGUGGUGAAAGUGUGCGGCUCAACCGUAAAAUUGCCGUUGAAACUGGCAGUCUUGAGUGCAUUAGAGGUAGGCGGAAUUCGUGGUGUAGCGGUGAAAUGCUUAGAUAUCACGAAGAACUCCGAGUGCGAAGGCAGCUUACUGGGCUGCAACUGACACUGAGGCACGAAAGUGUGGGUAUCAAACAGGAUUAGAUACCCGAGUAGUC
rnacentral:rRNA from 1 species